AAGGUAAUUGCUUACCAAGCAACGAUCAGUAGCCGACCUGAGAGGGUGAUCGCCACACUGGAACUAGACACGGUCCAGACUCCUACGGGAGGCAGCAGUGGGGAAUAUUGCACAAUGGGCGAAAGCCUGAUGCAGCAACGCCGCGUGAGCGAUGAAGGCCUUCGGGUCGUAAAGCUCUGUCCUCAAGGAAGAUAAUGACGGUACUUGAGGU
rnacentral:rRNA from 1 species